CUGUUCUUAACAAGUGCGAGAAACAAGGGAAGAAUACAAGUUUUUUUUUUUUUUUGCAUUUUGUCCCAUAAAUAAGGUUAAAAGGUCUCACUCUUUGAGCCUACAGCCUUACAGCUGCUAUACAAUUCGCUUGGAAGUGACUUUUACUCCUAUUUGCCUACAGAUAGUACACCUUUAUUGGGGUGGAUAACAGUUCACUCGAUUGACUCAGAUAACGAAG